AUUUUAAGAACAGGCAGAAAUAAAAUACAAAGUUUAAAAUGUCUUAGUUCUGAAUGGACUUAAUUAUUUUUGUGUAGUGGGGGAAAUCACACUGAAAUGUAGCGGAGGCUGAGGUCCAAGAGAUGAGCUAAAACAAACUCUCUUUGGAUUAAGAUUAUCAGAUGUUUUUCUUCUUUUUUUUUUACAACCAAUUUUUUGCAUCUGUAGUUUAUUUCAAUUAAGUAAUCUUACACAUGUAAUAUGAUGUGCAUGCAUUUAUAUCAAUGUUUACACACAAUAUUAUUUAACAAGUCACUCCUAAAAGUUACAUACCCAAAGAAAUAAACUAUGUGUAGUUAUUACAUCUUUAAAAUCAAGUUACUGUGACUUAUAAUGUCUUCCAUUUCGAUUUAGAUUUUAGCAGACCACAGAAAAGUGUAAGGGAGGGGGAGGGGAGCCUUCAGUUGAACACCUGCACUGCUGACCUUUCAACAAGCCUAGUUGAAUUCAUGGGAAAUGGGAAUCUGUUAAACUAAUACAAAAUGGAUCUAUGCAAUGUCUUCAAAUGAUUCUGCAUCAUGUAAAAAAACAUGUCUAAAAUUCUAGUUCAACAAGAUAAUAUGUUAGUAAAACUAGUUGUUGUUUUUUUUUUUAUAAAUUUUCUUCCAACAAGCACAUUUGCCAAUAGAACUAAACAUUCGUACAGGUCUUAAACGCAUCUCAAGAAAUGUAUCAAAAGUCACUUGCAGCAGGAGCAGAAACAGGAGCCAGGUCAAGAAACAAGUCUUGUAAUCGGAGAUAACAGCAUUUUUUCCGAAAUCUUGGGAAACAUCAUAGAAGAUAAUGAUCAGCAAAACAAAGGAAGGAUGAGGGAAGGAAAGGAACUUGAUGCAGUGACCCUAAGAUCUCCAAGUGAGAACCAAGGAGAACCAUCAAAGCAGUCUAAGCAGGCAGGAAAAACUGGCAAAGAUCAGGAUGUGAAUAGACCAGCUAUUGAACCUACAUCUCAUCGACGGCUUUGGAGUAAGGCCGAAAAGGCAUCAGUAUGGCAACAGCUUUGCCAAUAUGUAACCUUAGAGAGUUCCUGGUAAAGAACCAUGUCUUGAAGCACUUAAAGUUGAGCCUGCACUGACAAGCCAAACUUGGAAAGACAUAAAAAACAAGUUUACAAUACUAUUACUGUUCAAAAGCCGAAAAAACAUUCUACAUUAGAUAUGGUCAAUCUUACAUUGUUUGGUUAAAACUACAAAAAAAGUUGUAAGCAGUGCAUAUUUGGCAAUGGUCCUUUGCCUAGUGUUUGGACAGCAGCACAAAUAUGUAUUUUUGUUCCAUAAACAAAUAAAAUAGUUUGCAUUCGGUCUCCACAUUGUGUUCUUUAGUAUUUAAAAUGUUUAUCUUAGUUCACAAAGCCUGUAUAAUGUAGUUAAAUUGGCACUACUAUAUCUAUAAAGGACAGUAUAUGUGAGAAGAUAUGAUGCCGGGGGUUAAGGAAAAAAAUAAUUAAUUAUUAGAAGCUUAGAAUGGCUUUUUUGAUGAAAGAAAGCUUGGCUGUUGGUGAGAAAAAACACACCCAAAUCUACCUGGCAACAACAACUGGUCCACACAAGUCCACAAGAAAAAGAUUUAUUUUAUUUUGAGCU